rnacentral:lncRNA from 1 species
AGUUGGUGACUGCUCGAAGGGGUGGGAGGAACAGUAUAAAGUCCUGUCCCCUUCCUGCCUUCAAGGGCACCCCUGAAGGACCAUAUCCACUGUGGACCCCCUUGGGAUCAGCCGAGCUUUUCACACUCUCUGUUGCCCUUGUCCUUGGGCAUCUCAGUGACUCGAAGGAAUUGGGUCUUGAGACACAGCCGAGCCUGUGAGCGCUGACCUGUGUAAAGAAGACACCAGAAUGAGAUGUCUCCACACACAGAGAGCUGCAGCCGAUGCCGGCCGGUGACUUGGGACUUGGAUGCUUAACAGGAGGCUCCCCCUCUCUUGGGAGAGAGCAGUGAGGAAGGGGACUCAGCCUCCAUGCCUCCCGCCAGCCCAGCUGCGCCCGAAUCACCUCCCUCCUGAAAGGAUGUCAGCCUCUGCUUGGACACCGUGGAGACAGGGCCCUCCUUGUGCUUCAGAAGCAUCAACGUGUCAGAAAAUCAUCUUCACGCCAAGUCUGGAAAAAAUGGCUUUGAGGUUGUGCACACAAAGGAAGGAGGGAGAGCCCCAGGUGUCGCGGAGGACCAUGCGGCUGACAGAGCCAGCAGGGCGGUGGCGUGUGAGCCGUGCUCUGGAUAUAUAAGGAUCUGACGCUGCUGGCAAUGUCUGAGCUCUAUGCUCGCCCAUCUGUCGGCUGCUAUCAUCACCGGGUGGGAUUAGCGGAGAUCCACUCUUUCAUAUUUAAAUCUUCACAAGAGAAUGAAUCACUUUUAUAAUAAAAGAAAAA